UGCAGCCACAACACAUUGAACACCUUUUCACGUACAAUCACCGGAGUUAAGCAACGUCGAGCCUUAUCAGUACUUAGAUGAGUGACCGCUUGCGAAUACCAGGUACUGUAUU